rnacentral:rRNA from 1 species
AUGGGUUGCCUCGGCCGCUUCAGGAGCAAGAUCAGGGCGGGCAAGGGCAAGAGACCGCACGGGAGGCCGGUGCGGGGCCCGGGCGCGUCGUUCACCUCCGAGGCCACCUGCUCGACGGCGUCGUCGUCGGCCGCGGCCACGAGCCAGUCCCAGGACUCCGGCGCGACCGUGCGGCCCGGCGGGAGCAAGUCGUCGGGGUCGGCCUCGUCGGCGCGGAGCAUCCCAGAGCUGUACGAGGAGCGGGGCGCGAGCAGCCUGCGCGAGUUCGGCCUCCGGGAGCUCCACGCCGCCACCAGCGACUUCAGCCGGCUGCUCAAAAUCGGCGAGGGCGGGUUCGGGAGCGUCUACAAGGGGGUCGUCCGCCUGCCCGGUGGCCCCGCCGGCGGCACCGUGGUGGCCAUCAAAAGGCUCAACACCAGCGGCCACCAGGGGCAUAAGCAAUGGCUGGCAGAAGUUCAUUUUCUAGGGGUUGUCGAGCACCCAAACCUCGUCAAGCUCAUCGGUUACUGUGCUGCCCGUAACGAAAGAGGUCCUCAGAGGCUGCUUGUCUAUGAGUUCAUGACGAACAAAACUCUGGAUGAUCAUCUAUUCAAUCGAGCAUACCCUGUUCUUCCAUGGGGCGUCAGGUUGGAAAUAGUAUUUGGUGCUGCUCAGGGUUUGAUGUAUCUCCAUGAAGGGUUGGAGAUUCAGAUCAUAUAUCGUGAUUUCAAAGCUUCCAAUGUUCUGCUGGAUGAGGAGUUUAGACCGAAACUUUCAGACUUUGGAUUAGCAAGGGAAGGGCCAUCAGCAGAUCAAACUCAUGUGUCUACAGCGGUUAUGGGAACCUAUGGUUAUGCGGCUCCAGACUACGUCGCGACAGGCCAUCUCACCACCAAGAGUGAUGUUUGGAGCUUUGGAGUAGUACUCUAUGAGAUCCUCACCGGACGACGUUCUAUGGAUAAGAACCGCCCCAAGAAUGAGCAGAAACUGCUGGAAUGGGUAAAGCAGUAUCCUGCCGGAAGUAAGCAGUUCAGCAAGAUUAUAGAUACAAGACUCGAAGGCCGUUACUCUAGGCAGGGAACUAGAGAAAUUGCUAAGUUGGCCAACACCUGCCUUGCAAAGCGCUCAAGGGACCGUCCAACCAUGAGACAGGUGGCUGACAGCCUAAAGCAAGUGAUGCAGCUCAAGCAGUUGGAUGGCGAAAGUGUCACAUCAGGGGGCAACUCGCCACCUCAUGAUGUCCAGGGUAAGCCAACAGCAGACGAUAUUGCCGUGGCUUCAGCAAGGCGGCGGAUGCUUCACCUUGCUGCUCUAGGUGAAAAUGGAAACAGCAUCGCAAGGAGGAGAUUCAUGUUCAUGAAGGCUGCCGCUGCUCCAACUCCAACGUGA